rnacentral:rRNA from 1 species
UACGAAGGGGGCUAGCGUUUUUCGGAAUCACUGGGCGUAAAGCGCACGCAGGCGGAUCGAUAAGUCGGGGGUGAAAGCCCGGGGCUCAACCUCGGAAUUGCCUUCGAUACUGUCGGUCUCGAGUCCGGGAGAGGUGAGUGGAAUUCCUAGUGUAGAGGUGAAAUUCGUAGAUAUUAGGAAGAACACCAGUGGCGAAGGCGGCUCACUGGCCCGGUACUGACGCCCAGGUGCCAAAGCGUGGGGAGCAAACAGG